GAAAGGGAUGAGAAUCUUAAAGAGGGGCCUGCAAAAGCACCAGUUUAUUGGAUAGAUGUUAAGGACAUUGAGCAUGAUCCUGACACAGAGGCAGAAGAUUGCUACAUUGCGAUGGAGGCUUUAUGUGAGGUUGUGCAUUCCAUGCAACCCCUUAUUGUGUAUUUUCAAGAUUCAUCUCUAUGGUUGUCUAGGGCAGUUCCCAAGUCAAAUCACAAGGAUUUUGUCCAGAAGGUUCGAGAAAUGUUUGACAAAAUAUCAGGUCCAGUUGUAUUGAUAUGUGGCCAGAACAAAGUUGAAACGGGGUCAAAGGAGAAAGAGAAUUUUACAAUGAUACUCCCAAAUUUCGGUCGUCUAGCUAAGCUGCCUCUCUCUUUGAAGCAACUUACUGAGGGACUCAGGGUGACAAAGAGGUCCAAUGACAAUGAAAUAUAUAAGCUCUUCACUAAUGUUCUGUCCAUACAUGCUCCAAAGGAGGAAGAUCUUCUCAGAACGUUCAAUAAACAGAUUGAAGAGGACAGGAGAAUUGUAAUAUCUAGAAGCAAUUUAAAUGAACUGUACAAGGUUCUUGAAGAAAACGAAAUGUCUUGCCUGG
rnacentral:misc_RNA from 1 species